ensembl:misc_RNA 7SK 7SK RNA
GGAUGUGAGGGCGAUCCAGCUGAGACAUCUAUCACCCCAUUGAUUGCCAGGGUUGAUUCGGCUGAUCUGGCUGGCUAGGCGGGUGUCCCCUUCCUCCCUCACCGCUCCAUGUGCAUCCCUUCCGAAGCUGCACGCUCUGUUGAAGAGGACGGCCUUCCCGGAAUAGAGACAGACCGGUCUUAGGUUGAGGGUAGCUGUGCUCCCCUGCUAGAACCUCCAAACAAGCUCUCAAGAAAGAGGGUGUGUGUGUGUGUGUGUGUGUGUGUGUGUGUGUGUGUGUGUGUGUGUAAAUAUUAUUAUAUAAUUAUCUAGUUCUGUCCUAAAUCCUGUCUAUUUUU